CUGAUAGCCCUGGUGACCGAAGGUCACUAUUUAUCUACAGAACUAGCUCAGCCUGGGGAACACUGGUGUACGCUUCCCCACACUGCCCUGCCAGCAUGCCUCAGCGUGGACCCCUUCUCAGCAUAGGUCAGUCUCCACACCGCACUCAGUCAAUAAGGGAG
rnacentral:sRNA from 1 species